GGGCCCGUCGUCUAGCGGUAGGAUACUCCCCUGACGCGGGAGUGGUCCCGGGUUCAAAUCCCGGCGGGCCCA
rnacentral:tRNA from 1 species